GACGAACGCUGGCGGCGUGCUUAACACAUGCAAGUCGAACGAUGAAGCCCAGCUUGCUGGGUGGAAGAGUGGCGAACGGGUGAGUAACACGUGAGUAACCUGCCCUGAACUCAGGGAUAAGCACUGGAAACGGUGUCUAAUACUGGAUACGACCUAUCACCGCAUGGUGUGUGGGUGGAAAGAUUUAUCGGUUCUGGAUGGACUCGCGGCCUAUCAGCUAGAUGGUGAGGUAAUGGCUCACCAUGGCGACGACGGGUAGCCGGCCUGAGAGGGUGACCGGCCACACUGGGACUGAGACACGGCCCAGACUCCUACGGGAGGCAGCAGUGGGGAAUAUUGCACAAUGGGCGCAAGCCUGAUGCAGCAACGCCGCGUGAGGGAUGACGGCCUUCGGGUUGUAAACCUCUUUUAGUAGGGAAGAAGCGAAAGUGACGGUACCUGCAGAAAAAGCACCGGCUAACUACGUG
rnacentral:rRNA from 1 species